rnacentral:rRNA from 1 species
UACAGGGGGUGCAAACGUUGCUCGGAAUUACUGGGCGUAAAGCGCGCGUAGGCGGACCUGCAAGUCGGGGGUGAAAGCCCGAGGCUCAACCUCGGAACUGCCUUCGAUACUGCGGGUCUCGAGUCCGGGAGAGGUGAGUGGAAUUCCUAGUGUAGAGGUGAAAUUCGUAGAUAUUAGGAAGAACACCAGUGGCGAAGGCGGCUCACUGGCCCGGUACUGACGCUGAGGCGCGAAAGCGUGGGGAGCAAACAGG